UGGUGCUCUAUUCCACAUCACAUAACUAAAAUUGGAGCUAUAGAGAAAAGAUUAUCAUGGCCCCUGUGCAAUGAUGACAUGCAAAUUUGUGAAGCAUUCCAUUAAAAA